rnacentral:lncRNA from 1 species
CCAACACAAAAUGUAAGAAAGAGAAACACCAAGGACUGAACCUUAAUCUUCCUUCCAUAUCAAUUCCAUACCUAAAAAAGGGUGCAAAAGUAAUGAGAACCGUGACAAAUGUUGGAAACAUAACUUCUGUCUACAAAGCUCAAGUGAAGGCUCCAGAUGGCAUAAAAGUGAGAGUUGAACCUCAAAUUUUGAGUUUCAAUUCUUCCUCGACAGUCCUUUCCUUCAAUGUCAGUUUCUUGUCAACUCUAAAGCUUCAUGGAGGUUACAGAUUUGGUAGCCUAACUUGGACCAAUGGCAAGCAUUUUGUGAGGGUCCCAAUAGCUGUGAGGACCAUACAAUUUGAAUCUUAAGGAUUCAUAAGAGUUUAUGGAAAAUGAGUUUUAUCAACUAACACGGCAUUAAAUUCUAUGACGAAAGAUUACCAGUUUAUGCAUGGAAUAUACUACAGAUUGUAAGUUUAAAACGGAUCCUGAGUUUGCAACUGACAAAUUAUUUGAAUUAAAUAAAAUGAUUGGUUGACACUGAUGAACAGAAUACUGUGAUGAGCAAAUGUCAGUAUUAGAAACAAAAAACACUGCUAAUCUAAUGGUGAAUUUUAAGUUACUGUUGUUAAGGAAGAUGGUAUUUGUAUGAUUUGUAUUUUAUCUAAAACAACACAAAAUAUCAAACUUGAGUCUUUAUUGAAGCAGUCUUUAUUGGAAUUAAUUUUUAUUGAAAUAAACAGACUAUAAAAUUCUCCCACCUAUCUCAACACCUUCAAUGUUCAAACACAACAAUAUAAAACUAAUAACUCAAAAGUAAAAAUUGUAAUAUACAUAUUGUUGUAAAAGCACUUAAUUAGAUUGGUGGAAGGAGCACCUGUGGAGAUCGUUAAUGGCACUAAUUUGGGAAAACCUAAGGUUGUUGGGGGUGAUGACUCAAUGUCUUUCCAAUCAGAAGAUGGUGACUGGUGGCUGGACGGCGUCUCUGGUAGAGGAGAAGAGUCCUUCUCGGUUGAUGAGGGUGAGGACGUGGCAAGGUCUCAGGCGCCUCUGAACUUUGCUCAGUCUUGAGGGCAUUGGGGUUCGGGAAAAGGUGACGAGGGGAGCAGGUGGAAUAGGCCAAAACAACUCUUCUGCAAAAGGGGUUUUGGCCGAUUCAGAGAAAUUUGGCAAGAUUGACAAAAAAUGGCAUCCUUUUCCUCUGGGAAUGGGAAAGGUAAGAGCAGACCAAGUUUGAAAGGGGAGGAAGGUGUGAGUACAAGGGUUAAUAUCUGA